rnacentral:rRNA from 1 species
CCUACGGGUGACUGCAGUGAGGAAUAUUGGUCAAUGGGCGGAAGCCUGAACCAGCCAAGUAGCGUGCAGGAUGACGGCCCUACGGGUUGUAAACUGCUUUUAUACGGGAAUAACGCGCCUUACGUGUAGGGCUUUGCAUGUACCGUAUGAAUAAGGACCGGCUGAUUCCGUGCCAGCAGCCGCGGUAAUACGGAGGGUCCGGGCGUUAGCCGGAUUUAUGGGGGUUAAAGGGGGCGUAGGCCGCAUGGCAAGUGUGCUGGGAAAAUUCCGGGCCCAAACCGGGCCUUGCCGGGGGAACUGGCGUGCUGGAGGGAGCGGAAAGCAGGCGGAAUUCGUCGUGUAGCGGUGAAAUGCUUAGAUAUGACGAAGAACCACGAUUGCGAAGGCAGCUUGCUGCAGCGGAACUGACGCUGAUGCUCGAAAGCGCGGGUAUCGAACAGGAUUAGAUACCCCUGUAGUC